UACGUAGGGUGCAAGCGUUAAUCGGAAUUACUGGGCGUAAAGCGUGCGCAGGCGGUUUCGUAAGUCUGUCGUGAAAUCCCCGGGCUUAACCUGGGAAUGGCGAUGGAGACUGCGAGGCUAGAGUUUGGCAGAGGGGGGUAGAAUUCCACGUGUAGCAGUGAAAUGCGUAGAGAUGUGGAGGAACACCGAUGGCGAAGGCAGCCCCCUGGGUCAAAACUGACGCUCAUGCACGAAAGUGUGGGGAGCAAACAGG
rnacentral:rRNA from 1 species